rnacentral:lncRNA from 1 species
UCCUAUUUACAGUCUAUUUUAAUUUUUUCUAUUAUUUUUUUCUAGUCUUCUAUUUGUUCUAUUUUCUUUUUUCUAAUUUCUUCUAUUUUCUCCAAUUUUCUAUUUUAAUUUUUUCUUUUCUUUUUUUCUGAUUUUCUUCUAUUUUCUCUCUCUUUUUGUUCUAUUUUCUUUUUGUCCUGUUUUUUUUUUUUCUCUCUUCUCUCUGCUCCUCCCCUGCCCAACUGCCGCCAUUUUACCAAAAAGUCCUUUUUUUUCCCUCCAGAUGGGGCAACUGCGAAGAAAAACUUUCCUUUCCCUGCCGACUCCAUCUUCACUCUUCAAUUUUCCUGUUCUUCCCUCAAAAUUGGCUCCUCUCAAUCCAUCCUGAGCCUGAAAAUGCCGCAUUUCACCCCAAACCGGCCGCCCCCGCCUGCGCUGCCCGGCCCGGCCCCGCUUGGGGACAAAACUACAUUUUUUAAAGCUUUAGGAGCUUUUGUUUAAAAAUUAAAUUUAGGAGCUUUUUUAGCAGAAAAUAGCGUAUCAAGCGCUUUUUCUUUCUUUAAAUUAAAGCAGCUGAAAAAGCUCUUUUUUUAAAAUUAAAACCGCCCCAGCUCGCUCCGGCUUUUCGAAAAUAUCACAUUACGAUAUUUUAAGAAUUAAAGAGCUGCGAGAGCUGCGUUUCCUCUCAGAAAUCGGCUUUGAAAGCAGCGAUUUCUUAAAAACCAGCAUCAGAAGCUUCGGUUUAAAUAAAACCCAGCUUUAGGAGCUUUUCUAAGGUUUU